UGUUCAGGGGUAAACCUGUGGUUCCCGAAAGUUCGAACGGGGAGAUUCAAUGUCCUCGCCGGUUAUGACCAUUUAACAGUGAUGUUUAUAUAUGAGACAUCGUAUACGGUUGCGGUUUAUUCUGUACUCUGUUAUACGGUGCUCCGCUGUUUUAUGCCUAUUGUUUAUAGCCGGAGGCGUGCACUUCUCCCCUUGUAGGACGUCGUGACCCAUUGGAUAAUUAAAAUGUUGUCUAAGGCUCGUGAUGGAGACCGUGGCAUUUGGUUUCGGCUUUAAUGACCCGGACUUACGAUGUCCCGACAUCUAUCCGAUGGUAGUAUUAUGAUGAUGGGUCGCCUAUUUGCGAGCGUUCAGAUCCAUAACAAAUGCUUACAUGGUAUAUAAGUGGAAAUCGGAUUUAAUGCCGGUUCUGCACGUGUGGUAUUGUUAGUUGUGGUAUUCUCGAACCGUUCCUUUUCAUCAGUCAACGGCGUUUAUGUUUUGGGUAAUUACAGGACCCGUCUUGAAACACGGACCAAGGAGUCUAGCAUGUGCGCGAGUCAUUGGGACUCUGUGAAACCUAAAGGCGCAAUGAAAGUGAAGUAUUUGUGAAUUUUCGUAAUUCACUUGUUUAAGGGAAGAUGGGUAACGUUAUUCAUGUUACCUCGCAUUCCCGGGGCGUCGCGUACUUAUUGCAAGUUGCGGCGCACCAAGAGCGUACACGCUGGGACCCGAAAGAUGGUGAACUAUGCCUGGUCAGGAUGAAGUCAGGGGAAACCCUGAUGGAGGUCCGUAGCGAUUCUGACGUGCAAAUCGAUCGUAUGAACUGGGUAUAGGGGCGAAAGACUAAUCGAACCAUC
rnacentral:rRNA from 1 species